rnacentral:rRNA from 1 species
GAAUUUCGCAGAGUGCCAAUUUUUCGUGUCACCACAAAUCGCUAACUCUUCGGGAUGAGUACAGUGGCGCACGGGUGAGUAACACGUAGGUGACCUGCCUAUUAGCGGGGGAUAACACGAAGAAAUUCGUGCUAAUACCGCAUACGCAAAGUGAAUUUGGAAGUAACUUUGGAAAGAAUGCCUCUCCUUGGAAGCAUUUACUAAUAGAUGGGCCUGCGUAGCAUUAGCUUGGUGGUGGGGUAACGGCCUACCAUGGCGACGAUGCUUAACUGGUCUGAGAGGAUGAUCAGUCACACUGGAACUGAGACACGGUCCAGACUCCUACGGGAGGCAGCAGUGGGGAAUAUUGCGCAAUGGGCGAAAGCCUGACGCAGCAAUGCCGCGUGAGUGAGGAAGGCCUUCGGGUUGUAAAGCUCUGUCAUAUGGAAAGAAUGGUUGUUGCUCUAACAGGGCAGCAAUUUGACGGUACCAUAAAAGGAAGCACCGGCUAACUUCGUGCCAGCAGCCGCGGUAAUACGAAGGGUGCAAGCGUUGUUCGGAUUUAUUGGGCGUAAAGCGCGCGCAGGCGGAUUAUUAAGCCAGAUGUGAAAUCUCGGGGCUCAACCCCGAAACUGCGUCUGGAACUGGUAAUCUAGAAUCUUGGAGGGGGAAGCGGUAUUUCGCAUGUAGGGGUAAUAUCCGUAGAGAUGCGAAGGAACACCAGAGCCGGAGGGGGCUUUCCUGGCCAAGUAUUGACGCUGAGCGCGAAAGCGUGGGGAGCAAACAGGAUUAGAUACCCUGGUAGUCCACGCCGUAAACGAUGUGCACUAGAUAUUGGAGACUUUGACCUCCUCAGUGUCGUAGCUAACGCAGUAGUGCACCGCCUGGGGGAGUACGGCGCAGUACUAAAACUCAAAGAUAUGACGGGGCCCGCCUAGCGGGGAUUAUGUGUUAAUUCAAGCAACCACCAAAUCUUACCUAGGCUGAAAUCCCGAGAAGAUCGACCAAUUGAUUUGUCUCUUUUUAAACUCGUGAACGGCCUGCUUGCUGCCUUCCUCNCGGUGUGCUAAAGGUGCCCUCCACGACCACCCUUUCUUAGGGCGUGGUGCUUGAACGCCUGGUUACGGGC